CCAAAUAGUUUAUGUCAAUGAUAUACAAUAUAACAGUCUAUUGGAAUUAGACUGCAAAAAAUACCACGUGGUUUAAUCACAACUACUUUUUUUAACUCAGUAUUUAUCUCAAGGGGAACUCAGUACUUGGGGUUUGUGCUCUCGGGCGCUAGUUCGAUUUUAAAUAUGGGCUGUGCGACUUUUGCCCUGUAAACCAUGUGGUGGCCUAAUCAUUGGGUUGGCUAUGUCUGUGAUUUUUUUCAAAAGACGACCAUGGCCUGCAUUGCUUGGAACUGGAUUUGGUAUUGGUGUCGCAUAUAGAACAUGUGAAAAAGAAGUUAACUUGUUUAAGUAAUUGACAAAAAAUAAAUUUGUGUCGUUGAAAAA
rnacentral:sRNA from 1 species